rnacentral:rRNA from 1 species
UACGGGGGGGGCAAGCGUUGUUCGGAAUUACUGGGCGUAAAGGGCGCGUAGGCGGUUCGCUAAGUUGAAUGUGAAAACUCUGGGCUUAACCCAGAGCCUGCAUUCAAUACUGGCGGGCUAGAGUUCUGGAGGGGAUAGCGGAAUUCCUGGUGUAGCGGUGAAAUGCGUAGAUAUCAGGAGGAACACCGGUGGCGAAGGCGGCUAUCUGGACAGAGUCUGACGCUGAGGCACGAAAGCGUGGGAAGCAAACAGG